UACAGAGGGGGGCAAGCGUUGUCCGGAAUUACUGGGCGUAAAGCGCGUGUAGGCGGGACGGCAAGUCUGGCGUGAAAGGCUCGGGCUCAACCCGAGAUGGCCGCUGGAAACUGCCGUUCUUGAGGGUCGAAGAGGAGAGUGGAAUUCCUGGUGUAGCGGUGAAAUGCGUAGAGAUCAGGAGGAACACCCAUGGCGAAGGCAGCUCUCUGGUCGACCUCUGACGCUGAGACGCGAAAGCGUGGGUAGCAAACAGG
rnacentral:rRNA from 1 species